rnacentral:rRNA from 1 species
AACGAACGCUGGCGGCAUGCCUAACACAUGCAAGUCGAACGAUGCCUUCGGGCAUAGUGGCGCACGGGUGCGUAACGCGUGGGAAUCUGCCUUUCGGUUCGGAAUAACUCAGGGAAACUUGAGCUAAUACCGGAUAACGUCGCAAGACCAAAGAUUUAUCACCGAAAGAUGAGCCCGCGUAGGAUUAGCUAGUUGGUGAGGUAAAGGCUCACCAAGGCGACGCUCCUUAGCUGGUCUGAGAGGAUGAUCAGCCACACUGGGACUGAGACACGGCCCAGACUCCUACGGGAGGCAGCAGUGGGGAAUAUUGGACAAUGGGCGAAAGCCUGAUCCAGCAAUGCCGCGUGAGUGAUGAAGGCCUUAGGGUUGUAAAGCUCUUUUACCCGGGAAGAUAAUGACGGUACCGGGAGAAUAAGCCCCGGCUAACUCCGUG